AUCACUUACACAGAGUGUAGAAGUGGAAAUGUUGGUGUGUGUUCUGAUAACACUGCAGUGUUACCACCUGUGACUGCCUCCAGCUAUAGCCUGGCUUUUUAGCACAGGUUUUACCCUGCGAGCAUUAACCUCCAUCAGGAAGCACAGGUGUAUGUACUUUAUCACUCUACAGACUAGAAAAGACCCUAUUUCCGGGCAUUCAGGUUUCCCCUGCUUCCACGCAGUUCAAGGGCUGUUCCUCUGUACCAGGUCUGCUGCAAGAAGCAUCUCACGAGCCUUCAGGACCCAGGUAGAAGUCAGCAAGGAAGAGCAUCCUACCCAACACCAGCACACUGUUCUUCAGUGGGGAACUGCUCCUGUCAGAACAGUCACCAACAUCCACUACUUUGUUUAGAUGCUCUGCUUUGGAAAUGAGAGCCAGCACCACAGCAUGUGGGCAGAUGAUUCUGGGCAUCUUUCUCAUGAUUCUGCAGAAGUUCAGUAGUUUCUUUGGUCAUCAUCCCACUGAAACAAGGCACAACAGUGAACGCUGAGCCAUCUUCCAGAUAACAAGGCCCUGUCUGUACUCAAAUUGCUCUUGUGGCACAGCAAUCUGGGAACCAAGGCUACCAGAAACUAAGACAGACUUAUUAUUUGGUGAGCAGGUCUUGUCUGGUUUUUAGAGGGAGGACGUGAAUCAGAUUAAACAUGUUCCUGUGCUUGUUUAAGACAGUUAUGGAACAGUGCUAGAAAUGCUGCUUGGAGUAGGUAUAAGAUUCUCCAUCAUGGAUAUAUUUCACACCAGAUUUUUUUAAUGGAGACAGCAAAAUAGGAUGAGCCUUUCAUCCUUUGUGCAGGUUGCAUCAGAUCUCCCCCACAUCUGGGAAUCUCCAGGUGUGGGGCAACACAAGUACAAAUCAAACUUGUAUAUCAUGUGCAGUGUGAGUGAAAUCGGUCAGGCCUGUGUAAG
rnacentral:lncRNA from 1 species